GGUGCGAGCGUUAUCGGAAUACUGGGCGUAAAGCGAGCGCAGACGGUUACUUAAGCAGGAUGUGAAAUCCCCGGGCUCAACCUGGGAACUGCGUUCUGAACUGGGUGACUAGAGUGUGUCAGAGGGAGGUAGAAUUCCACGUGUAGCAGUGAAAUGCGUAGAGAUGUGGAGGAAUACCGAUGGCGAAGGCAGCCUCCUGGGAUAACACUGACGUUCAUGCUCGAAAGCGUGGGUAGCAAACAGGAUUAGAUACCCUGGUAGUCAAGGGCG
rnacentral:rRNA from 1 species